rnacentral:rRNA from 1 species
GAUGAACGCUGGCGGCGUGCCUAAUACAUGCAAGUCGAGCGAACGGACGAGAAGCUUGCUUCUCUGAUGUUAGCGGCGGACGGGUGAGUACCACGUGGAUAACCUACCUAUAAGACUGGGAUAACUUCGGGAAACCGGAGCUAAUACCGGAUAAUAUUUUGAACCGCAUGGUUCAAAAGUGAAAGACGGUCUUGCUGUCACUUAUAGAUGGAUCCGCGCUGCAUUAGCUAGUUGGUAAGGUAACGGCUUACCAAGGCAACGAUGCAUAGCCGACCUGAGAGGGUGAUCGGCCAAACUGGAACUGAGACACGGUCCAGACUCCUACGGGAGGCAGCAGGAGGGAAUCUUCCGCAAUGGGCGAAAGCCUGACGGAGCAACGCCGCGUGAGUGAUGAAGGUCUUCGGAUCGUAAAACUCUGUUAUUAGGGAAGAACAUAUGUGUAAGUAACUGUGCACAUCUUGACGGUACCUAAUCAGAAAGCCACGGCUAACUACGU